rnacentral:misc_RNA from 1 species
GUUCCGUAGGUGAACCUGCGGAAGGAUCAUUAAUGAGUUGUCAUGGGGUUCGAUGCUGGCAGCCAGUUUUUGGAUGCAUGUGCUUGCCCUAACAAUCAUCUUCUUCCAAACACCUGUGCACAUUUUUGAGGGAGUCUUGAGUUGGUUGCCGCUCUUGGGUGAUUUUCUCACAUUCCCUUAAAUCAUUAUACGCUAUUAACAAUGUUGAACGUGCUCUGUGCCGCAAGGCCAUUAAUAUAACACAACUUUUAACAACGGAUCUCUUGGCUCUC